UACAGAGGGUGCGAGCGUUGUCCGGAAUCACUGGGCGUAAAGGGCGCGUAGGUGGCUCGGUAAGCGUGUGGUGAAAGUCCGGGGCUCAACCCCGGAUCUGCCGUGCGAACUGCCGAGCUCGAGCAUUGUAGAGGCAGGUGGAAUUCCGGGUGUAGCGGUGGAAUGCGUAGAGAUCCGGAAGAACACCAGUGGCGAAGGCGGCCUGCUGGGCAAUUGCUGACACUGAGGCGCGACAGCGUGGGGAGCAAACAGG
rnacentral:rRNA from 1 species